rnacentral:rRNA from 1 species
CAAGAGCGUAUGUAAAGGUUGUUGCAGUUAAAAAGCUCGUAGUUGAACCUUGGGUUUGGUUGGCCGGUCCGCUUUUUUGCGAGUACUGGAUUCAACCGAGCCUUUCCUUCUGGCUAACCAGUCGUUUCGGCGGCUGGCGAACCAGGAUUUUUACUUUGAGAAAAUUAGAGUGUUCAAAGCAGGCAUUAGCUUGAAUAUAUUAGCAUGGAAUAAUAGAAUAGGACGUUAUGGUUCUAUUUUGUUGGUUUCUAGGACCAUCGUAAUGAUUAAUAGGGACGGUCGGGGGCAUCAGUAUUCAGUUGUCAGAGGUGAAAUUCUUGGAUUUACUGAAGACUAACUACUGCGAAAGCAUUUGCCAAGGACGUUUUCAUUAA